rfam:Capsicum annuum cultivar Zunla-1 chromosome 8, whole genome shotgun sequence
UGAUGGUGGUGAGGGAAAUUUCUAAGCAUGCCCUUAAAUAUCUCCCAAGCUAGGAAAAGAUUUUCUCCUUCUUUCUGCCAGAAACUUAGAAUCUCACUUUUCAUACA